AUUGCACGCUGGCGGCAGGCCUAACACAUGCAAGUCGAGCGAGCGGCGGACGGGUGAGUAAUGUAUGGGGACUGCCUGAUGGAGGGGGAUAACUACUGGAAACGGUAGCUAAUACCGCAUACUAUCGGAUAACCCAUAUGGUAUUAGCUAGUAGGUGAGGUAACGGCUCACCUAGGCGACGAUCACUCGCUGGUCUGAGAGGAUGAUCAGCCACACUGGGACUGAGACACGGCCCAGACUCCUACGGAGGCAGCAGUGGGGAAUAUUGCACAAUGGGCGCAAGCCUGAUGCAGCCAUGCCGCGUGUAUGAAGAAGGCCUUCGGGUUGUAAAGUACUUUCAGUCGGGAGGCGUUACCGACAGAAGAAGCACCGGCUAACUCCGUGACAGCAGCCGCGGUAAUAC
rnacentral:rRNA from 1 species